rnacentral:lncRNA from 1 species
CCGAAUAAUGCUCUCUCACCAAAUUCCAAGUCUCUUGAGUGGAAAACCUUGGCCUGAACCCUGUUCUUCCUCUCCAAAGACUAGUAUCAUUACUGUCUAGCUAAAUUUAGCUUCCUCACAGUGAUACUUAACUCAACUUCUAACUCAUUUAGCACACUUAUACGAUGUCUCCUCCUUCUCCUAACACAAAGCACAUCAUCUUCCACCGUCGCUCUCUUCUCCAC